rnacentral:sRNA from 1 species
GGAUGUGAGGGCGAUCUGGCUGCGACAGUCUGUCACCCCAUUGAUCGCCAGGAUUGAUUUGGCUGAUCUGGCUGGCUAGGCGGGUGACCCUCCCUCAGUGCUCUGUGUGCGUCCCUCCCGAAGCUGCGCACUCAGUUAAAAAGGAUGACCACCCCAGAUAGAAGAGGACCAUUCCUAGGUCAAGGGUGUAUGAGUAGCUGCGCUUCCCUGCUAGAACCUCCAAACAAGCUCUCAAGGCUAAUUAUCUCUUGUUUUCUUUUUCUUUUUCUUUUUUCCCUUUUUGAGACAGGGUCUUGCUAUGCAGUUCAGGCUGGCCUUGAGCA